CCUACGGGAGGCAGCAGUGGGGAAUAUUGCACAAUGGAGGGAACUCUGAUGCAGCGACGCCGCGUGAGUGAAGAAGGUCUUCGGAUCGUAAAACUCUGUCCUUGGUGAAGAAAAGGACGGUAGCCAAGGAGGAAGCCCCGGCUAACUACGUGCCAGCAGCCGCGGUAAU
rnacentral:rRNA from 1 species